UUUCUUUUUGUUUCUCUCUAAAAUCAGGAUUAUUUCUGUAGCGAGAGACCAAGAUUUCUUUUUGUUUCUCUCUAAAAUCAGGAUUAUUUCUGUAGCGAGAGACCAAGAUUUCUUUUUGUUUCUCUCUAAAAUCAGGAUUAUUUCUGUAGCGAGAGACCAAGAUUUCUUUUUGUUUCUCUCUAAAAUCAGGAUUAUUUCUGUAACGAGAGACCAAGAUUUUUCUUUUGUUUUCUCUAAAUUCAGCAUUGUUUCUGUAACGAGUGACAAAGAUGUGUUUUUUUUUCUGUCUAAAAUCAGCAUUUUCUGUGUACCGGGAGGAAAUGUACUCUUUCCGUUUUUGCUUCAAGUCAACGUUGUCUCUUGUAUUAUUUAUUUUCUUUUGUCUAAAUUCAGGGUUGUUCUGAUAUUGGCUUUUUGCAUGAGAUAUCUUGUCUGCUUUAUAUGCUUUAUUUGAAGCAUAUUUUUCCCUUUCCUUCCUUUUCUGAAUCUCUUUUCUCUGUUGAGUUUUCACUGAGAUCAUCAGUCUUCUUUUCAUUUUUCUCCUUUCGUUUUUAUCACACUUUGUUAGUUUGCAUGAGAUUCCGUGUAAUAGAACAUCAGAUAGAUCACUGGCAACAGUAUUUUCUACUGAGGAAGAAAUACUUGGUUCAUUGAGAGAAGCAUCAUGUGAUGGAAGGAAAGUGGAUUGACUUGACAGUUCUGUUUCAUUGGAGUUUAUGACCUCUUGUCGUCUCACCGAUGACGUAAAGAUGAUGUCACUGGACUCUGCUGUCAAUAUGUCGUCAGAUGGAUCACUGAGAACAGGGUUUAUCACUUGAAUAGUUGAUCCUGAUUCAUUGUGAGGAGCAUCAUGUGAUGAUGUUGUGAUGAAGACCUCUGGUUGAUUUACAGCUGGAGUGUGAGGAGUCGUUUCAGGUGAACUGGUCUCAUCAGUGGCUGUAGGUGAGUUUGAUUCAUCCACAGGGACAGCUGUAGGUCUGCAGUCUGUGUUUGGGAGACCAUCGUUCAGGUUGACUGUGUUCACAUUGUAAAACUCCACAGGUUUCAACUCAUAGUUACAAGAGGACUGUGUGUCCAUCAUUCUGUGGGACUUCUUGAGCCUGUCAAUCAUGUCACUGAGACGUGAGAAUGUCACCAUGACAGCAGUACCUGGUGUGCGUGAACCGGCUGGUAGGGGCAAACCUCUGGCUGUUCUGGAGUGUGGGUCAAAGAAACCGUAUCUGCCCGACUUGGUUCUGAACACUGCGAUACACAAGAGUCUCAUCAACAGCAGAGCGUACUUCACAUCUGACAACAAGCAGCUGAGUCCUGACUCCAGGUCCAGAAAGCUGUCCACAGCUCCAGGUAAAGGUUCUCCUAAUGUGCCGUACCUUGAAAGCUGAGUCAUGUCUGCAUGGUGUGUAGCGCUGCGUGCAGGAACUUCAUCAGUGAGCUCGUCGGUGGUCAGAUAGAUGUGAUUAGUGACUUGUUUCCUGGUUUCUCUAUACAUCGUGUUACCUUUAUCCAAAACAUGGUCCAGGUCUGCUCUGGUGAUGCUUUCAUUCUCAUGGAGGAAUGCAAGAAAGGUCAGUGAGUUACAGGUGCACUGCCGAUUUCUGGAUCUGCCGUAUCUGAUAGAAGCCUGGCUGUGGGAUGCACGGACAUGUUGUUCAGAAGGCUGAUCUCCAGGGUCUACACAGUCUGCAUUAGAAGGUCCUGCUGCACAUGGUUCUUUACUGGGUUGUCCUCUCUUUACAGUAUCUGAUACCUGUGGUACACAUGACUCAUCACCUUGACCUCUAAGGUUUACCUGCCUGACAUUAGAAGGUCCUGCUGUACAUGGAUCCUCACUGUGACGUCCACUCUUUACUGCGUCUGCAUACGAUACCUGUGACUCACUUGGAACUCCCUGUUUCACACUUCCAGCAUGAGACUCUGCAGACAUCUUUACCUCUUCACUGCUCUCAGGACCAACACAUUCUGCUCCUUCAGUCGUUGUUGCACAGGGAUUCUCUUUGGUCCGCUGCCAGCGCUGGCUCUGAGCUUGUGACCUCUUACUCUUUCUGGGCAUUGUUGUGUUUCAAAACCACAAAUGUUAUUGUUUUACUUGUAUUGUACACAACCAAGGUACUAAACACAAUAUUAAUGGUAAAAGUAACUUAACAAAGCAGAAUGUGAAAAUAGAUUAAACCUUUGUCUGCUUUUACUGAUCAAGAACACCAAGAGAACAACUUAUAAUACUUGGGUUUAUAUUAAAUCAGGAAGCGUUGUCGUGGCAACGUGAUGAUGGAUGAAAGCUUCUGAAUGUCGGGCCUGCAGACAGAAGGCAGCAACUCCCAAUGAAUCCACUUCCUCCUUAUAGAUGGCUUUGUUUUAUUUCAGUAUGAACAAAGUGAAACAACUAAACACACAAAUACACUGAAUGUUUGAAAUAAUGUACGUUUAUACAGGAAAUUGUUAUUACAGAUUUCUAGAGUACUGCUACCAAAACAAAGCUUUGGGUACAAACCAGCGGAGCUCCAAAGCAACAACGAUCAGGAAAUUAACUAUUCCUUUUAUAUGAUAUAGACUUUUACUACAAUUGUUUUUAUGUAAAGUAACAAGGGAGCAACUUUCUUGAAUUAUGUUAAUGUAAUGAUUUACUCGAAAUAUAUAUUUGAAAAUGUACCAUUCAAUUCUAAAUGAUAAAAGGUACUUUUUAUCAAUUACAACAAAAUAUGUAGGUUAUGUGUGGUUUCUUUCAGUUUCUGAAUUAACUUUUCAGUUUUGUUUAACCAAUGUGUUGGGAAAAAGUCUCGGAAAUAGUAUAAAUGCUUUGUCCGAGUUGCAAAAACAGCAAUAGUGUUCUAGAGAUAAGUGUAUAAGUUGUAGAUAGGAGAGGUAAGAGGUGAGGGUGAGAGAAGAGAGUCUCUCAGAGUAUUCAAGUCAGAUAGAUUAGGUACCAGUAACCCAAGUCGAGCCAACAGAGCUUAGUCCAAAAUUCAGUUCAGUUCAGAGAAAGGUUUCCAGAGUUUGUUCCAUUCCAUUGCCAAAGAUUACCAACGUGAGAGUGGGAUAGAGGGGGACACAAAGUGUGAGUUGCCAUAUGCAAAAGACAGAGCGGUAGAUGUGACAGGAUAGAUAGAGAGCCAACUUGUAGACAGAGUGGAUACAAGGUAUAGGAGAGAUAGAGAGCCAACGUGAUAGAGGAGAGAUGCUGCACAGCAGGACACCUGGAAGACACAAUACAAAGACACUUUAGACAGCAGUUUGAAGAUCAAUUUAAGGAACAUCUAAAUGACCAGAAUAUCAACCAUUCUACCUCGAUAAUACCUCACUUAUUUAUAUGAAAAACAAUGUUGACCAUAAAUGGAUCAUUGAGUAGACUGGUUCAGAUGUCUCACAGCUUGCGUCUCUCUCCCAAGUUGUUUCACAGCGUCGCUGCUGCCACCUCUCCUUUUACAGGGUUUGCCUUUCAUGAUUACCAGUUUUCAUUUUAUUCUGAAGUAUUGUUUAUAUAAAUCAUCUUAUUUAUUUUAAAUAUAAAAUGUUUUAUUUAUUUUAAAUAUAAAAUGUUUAAGAAGCAUUGGAGUUUAUUCAUAAGAUGUUAACAAUCCACAAUUAAAAGAUGAUACUCUGAAUUCAUGGAGCCGUGAGAGUCACUGCCUUCUUGUGUUCACUGUUCUGAAACUAUUUCAGAAUAAAAGCCUUUUGUUAAUAAGGGGAUUCCUGGACAGGAAUCUCGAAAAGAGACUCAGACUCACACAGGAGGUGCGGCUUGGAGUUUUUCAUAACAACUUCACCAUGUGUUUUAACAAAGUGUAUUCAGUUUUCACUCAUGUGUGAACUUACUGUGAAGUCACCAGCAGUGAUGGUCUGUAGUUAAAGACAGAGAGGAAACAAGAAGAGUCGGGAGAGAAAUACAUUACAUUUACAUUCUUCUCAGAAAACCAGUGCAUCACAUCCCAUUUGACUCCAGAACUGUUCUUACGGUCGGGUGAUUAUUGUUACGUACAGAUAAGACAGAUUAUUAUGAUGGGAGGACAUUUAAAAGCCAAUGUAAUAUCAAUUUACUUAUAGCAUUAACAUUAACAAUGUGUAUGAACUUACACUUCAGAGUCAGCCUGCAGGAGAGGAAGGAGGUGAGGGAUGAAAAGAGAGAAAAAGACAUUUUCAAUUCACUUCAGAAAACCAACCUAAAGCUCAUUUUAAGUACUUUCAGGUUCCUUAUUUAUUAUCAAUGUAUAAUUUAAAAUGGACAUAGAAGUGUGUGUGUGACUGUGGGGAUACCGACUGUUGUCAACAACAUACAAUCGUAUCCCUUCAAUAUGUGUUAUUGCCUGUCAAGGACUUUAAGAAAUGCAGCUGGUUCUAUAGCAUAGGACACAACAUUAACGCUGCCACCAUCAAUUAUUAGUUACAGAUUAUGCAAGCUUUUUAAAUGUUAAUGUUUUCUGAUUGAACAGAUCGGAUUUCUGGCUAAAACAAUACAUCCACAAUAGAAAGAAAUACAUAUUGAAACUCAUAUUUUUUUUUAACAAAAAAGAUCUACAUAUGCUAAACAGUGAUUCACAUUGAAGUUCUGUGGUCUGUUUUCAAUUUAAUGACAGCAUUUCUAUACUUACCAACCAAAAUGGAGAUAUGGAUCGAUGUUCUGUUGUCUGCCAGAGGAAACAAUAUGACAAAAAGACAGUAAGCGGGUUAAAGCUUCAAGCCAAACACACAAAAAAAAACCCUGUCUAUUCAAUAUAUUAUCUAUUCAAUACAUACAUUACAGAGGUAGAAUACUACUCUUUAUUACUACCAGCAUCAUAUGGGAAAUCAAGAAUUAACUCAACCGUUGUCAUGCAUUGUUUAAGUCUUCAUUAGUUUGUGUGUGUGUAGCCUCUGGUUAAAAGAAACAAGCCAGGAUUUCAAAUGCAAUAUACAUCAUAAUAAUAAUUAUAAUAAUAUCUAGCCUCUUGCUCAUCAUAUAUACCACUAUUCUUGCCAUAAAUGUUACUACAUGCUGGUAACAGCUUAAACUGCUGGUAAACGACCUAAGGAGCAUUAACAGUAUUCAUGUUAGAAAUUAGCUUGUUCCUACUGACGUUUUUACUAAUGUGUUGGCGGUUUAAAAGGCAUGACAUUGGUGUGUAACUCCUUCCUGUAACUACAUAACAUGACCGGAGGAGCUGGAUAUUCUCUGUGGGAAUAUUUGUGGGUUUUGGCGUCAUGACGCACUGGAGGGGGAUCAGCUAUGGACAAAUUAACUAAAUUUCUGCGUUUUACGUGAUGUGGAAGGCCCACAUUUGCCAGGUCUUUACGGAUGGUAACGACAUCCGUAGACGAUCGAGCUGCACUAUCACACGUAAGCACGGUAUAGAUCAUGGCGACUGGUUACAGUGCAGCAGUAAGAGCCCAGAAUAAAGAGAUUUUACUUAAUUGCAAUAAACGAAUAACAAGCGAAAUAACAGAAUUAUGUCGAUUUUUUUUGUUCAUGUUUUGUUACUUCUGUCGGCAAGACGGAAGAGCACCGAACUUUAAAAUGCUCGUUUUCUGAAUGGAGCCUGGAUGGAGCAGUGCUAGCCUAAGCUAACAUUGUAGCAGCUCCACCAACACUCGUACGGCGUCAUUAUAUACACCAUAGUGGUAUGCACAUAGUUUAAUUCGUUCUGUACCAACAUGUCUCAUAGAGCUCUAUGUGAGCAAAGAAGCUACAAUAUAGUAAGAACAAGAGCAGCCUAUAAACGCGUCAUGUUGUAGGUUACGCUUUAACAAUAGCACAAGAAAUUUGCGCCACGUUGGGUGUGAACAUGGCGUCAUGACGUUAACGGUCAGCUAACACUAGCAUAUCGGCUAGCACUGACUUUAGCCACGUUAACUGAUAAUAGUAACGUUAGCUAGCUAACCGGUGACUUAGUUAGCUAACUACCGCGUCAGUUAACGUUAACUAAAAACGUGGCAUACCCCCAACUCAUAUGUAACGUUAACUUAACAUGCUAAAGUCACAAUAGCUGCUAUGCUAGUGUUAAGCAAGCGUCAGCAUAUGCAAUACAUGGGUAAUAUUUCACUUUCAUCCAUGUAGUUAUAAACUCUAUGAGUUACCAACUAACCUCAACGGCUUUUUAAAACCUUAUAUUGUAUUUAUAUCGAUUAAAUCAUUCUCCGUUAGCGGCUCACAAUUACUUACCAGAGAAGACGGCAGGACGGCAGGGUGCGCAUGCGCAGUUCAGUUGUAGUGUUCACUGAGGCGUUCAGGGGGCACUUGGAAAUUCAGAAGUCGAACGCAAAAGAAAAUCAUGUCUAUUUCUGCAACAAUCAAUCAAUGUCACACCAAGCACAAAGUGGAAUUCAGUCAGAAAGCUCAAUGGAUUAUUAAUAAAAACAUCUAGAUAAUAUAAAUCCAGUACAUAGAUCCAAUAAAUAAACAAAUAUAAACAGGUGAGCUGAAAAGUGUAAAAACCACUAGUCUGAGACAUUGUUUGCAGCUUAAAUUAAAAAGAUGUUAUACUAAAUGGGGUGAUCAGUAACGAUUUUUGUGUUAAUAUAAGAGCAGUUAAAACAGAUGGAACACUUAAGUAAAGUGGGAGAAACAAAUGUGAGAGGAGGGUUAAUAUCGCUCAAUAAAGUAUAGUUUAUAGUUUUAGAGUCACCUCUUGCAAAUUGUAUCAGGUUGAACAAAUACUAAGCGUCAUCAGCCAUUGUUUGGAGAGGAUCUGCGCCUCACCGAGCGCUUUCAUCUCACCCGCGAGUGUAAGUUGUUGUUGUUUGUCGGCCAAUCACUGUCACAUUGCACAUUUCUCUCCAAUGAUGAGCCUUCACUCACUGGUUACUACGUCCGAAGCGGUGAGAUCAAAAGGCUUUAGUGAGCCUCACACCACUGCUGACAUUUUAGAUUUUCAUUGAACGUACGACAAGAUAAGAGAAAGGUAAGCGUUUUUCCUCUCAAAUGAUAAUGAUGAUAAUUAGAAUACUUUCAAGAGGGUUUUUCCUUUCUAAUGUGAUAAUAACUUGAACACUAUUAAGAAUACCUCAAAUUAAUUAAGUCCAUAUAUAUUUUAAUUACAAAAAACAUGAAAUUGCUAACAAAUAAUCAUUUUAAAGAUUGCUAAGUUAUAUAUCUUGUUAUUUCCAAUCACUCUCCUGUUUUAAGUCAAUUCAAGGCACUCUUAAAAGGACAUUAUAUAGUUUAUAACACUAUUACGCUAAAGAUAAUAUAUAAGAGAAGCGUAAGCCUUUUUUAAUACUGUCCUAUUCUUUAAUUUAUCCUUACUUUGUGUUUAUUGUAUUAUUUCAGAAUGGCGUUACAUGCACUCUUGUGGACAAAGCCCCCCACCCCUUAUUUCCGACCCCCACCGAUCCACCUGUGUGUCGUGGGGAUGGUGGAGCAGAGCAAGGUGGUGGUCUGGGACUUUGAUCCCGCAGGUGCAAGGCCAGUUACAACCAAAAAAAAUAUUCUGGCCGCAGUCUCAGAUGGGGAGUCAGUGGGAAAACUGGCUUCCUACGAAGAGUUCGGGGGGAAAUUUAAAGAGGGUGGCCAUUAUUUUAUAAAGGGGCAUUCCCUGAGAGGGAACUCUCCACCCUAUAUUAUAGUGGUUAAUAAGGACACUAUGUUCUUUAGAAGUGCUCCUAUAGCACUAUCCGAAGAAUUAAAAGAGCAGGCGGAGGCCCUCAUCCGUCCACUCUCACCACUGACGCCCCUCAGCACCUGCAGGAACGCCAAGGGGUUUCUGACCGUGGAGGGGGAAGUGAUCGAACUGUCCACGAUAAAACAGAUCUCUAAAGAAAGGGAGGUCUUUCCGCUGCGGAACGUCACUCUGCAGCAGGAUCCUCCUCCGCCGGUCAGACGCCUCACUCAGCCCCAUUUCCUCCAUCCCUGGUGAUCUUGAGGUUGAUCUUCCUUAGUCGGAAAACCUCCUGCUGGGUGUAGUCUGCCCCACCCUUUUUCGUGCAGCCAUGUCGAACGGAGCGCGCAAACUUCUCCAAGUCGGAGAAGUAGUCCUCCAGCUCCACUCCUCUCUGGUUCUUGGUGGUCUGCAGGAACGCUUUCAUCUGCCCCACCCCGUGCCUGCUGGUGACCGUCCCCCCUGAGGAGACGCUGUCUUCAGAGGCCCACCCUGAAGAGGACUCUGACUCCACACCUCCCACCUUUCCUCUGCGCCCCCCUCUUUUUGCCCGAGAGCCUCCCCUGUUGGCCCUCGUCUUCCUCUUCAGGCGGGGGGCCUUAAAGUCCACCCCCCCCUCUUCCAUAUAUUCCUCGCUGUCCGAGGUUCCACCUCGAACAGC
ensembl:lncRNA